rnacentral:misc_RNA from 1 species
UUGAGUCUCUGCCGUGCCCACUGCCUUGGUGAGCUCCGCCUCUUCGCCAGCAGCGUGGGACAUCCUCCGAUUUGCCCCCAACCCCUCUGGUUCACCCGGUCCGCGCUCACCGACGUCCUCCCCGUGCAGUCGAAGCCCCGCCGCCGUCGACCCGAGGCCUCCUGCGUCCCCACUGUCUCUCAAGCGCUCCUAGGUCUGCACUUGAGUCUAGAUGGCCUCGGACGCGGCCUCCAGCUCCACGCACUCCGACCUCCUCCAGGUACGCCCGCCAGGCCCCAUCCUCCUAACCCGAUCGCUACUCUCCUGAACCCUGUGUCGUCACAAGAGCGCGAGGAGGUCGUGGCGGAGCGCGCUCUACACUGUGUGUAUGCGGAGGCGGUGGCCAUGGCAGAGGAGAACCAUGUUGUUGCCGGCGCCGGCCAGAAGCUCUACUGGUCCCGGCAAACCAGAGCCACUGCGGUUCAACGCCUGCGUUUCGCGGCUCAUUGCUGCCUGCACGCUCUGACAUGUACCCUCCCAAAAAAGAGGGAUGAAAACAACCACACACUGUGGGACUCCUGA